AGACUGCUAUACAGUAGGUAAGUCUGAAGCAAAACUCCCCUUUGACUACUAAGAUUUUGUUCCACAUGUAUUUUCAUUUUACUGAGGAUUUAUUCUGAAGAAAUGUCUUAUCUUAAAAAGAUAUCUUGCAGUCUUGGUGUUAAUCAAAGAAGUGGAAUAAUGGGUAACAAGUUAAAAUCAAAACUUCAGUUGCAAAAUAACCUGAAUAACUUACAGAAACCGUUUUUAACAUGCUAAAGUGAACAGCAAACAAAAAUUACUG
rnacentral:lncRNA from 1 species